UACGUAGGGUCCGAGCGUUGUCCGGAAUUACUGGGCGUAAAGAGCUCGUAGGUGGUUUGUCGCGUUGUUCGUGAAAACUCACAGCUCAACUGUGGGCGUGCGGGCGAUACGGGCAGACUAGAGUACUGCAGGGGAGACUGGAAUUCCUGGUGUAGCGGUGAAAUGCGCAGAUAUCAGGAGGAACACCGAUGGCGAAGGCAGGUCUCUGGGCCGAUACUGACGCUGAGGAGCGAAAGCGUGGGGAGCGAACAGG
rnacentral:rRNA from 1 species